AGAGUUUGAUCCUGGCUCAGGAUGAACGCUGGCGGCAUGCCUAAUACAUGCAAGUCGAACGAGAGGAAGGAAAGCUUGCUUUCCUGAAUCUAGUGGCGAACGGGUGAGUAACACGUAGGUAACCUGCCCAUGUGCCCGGGAUAACUUCUGGAAACGGAUGCUAAAACCGGAUAGGUAGCAGACAAGCAUUUGACUGCUAUUAAAGUGGCCUUGGCCAUGAACAUGGAUGGACCUGCGGUGCAUUAGCUGGUUGGUGAGGUAACGGCCCACCAAGGCGACGAUGCAUAGCCGGCCUGAGAGGGCGGACGGCCACAUUGGGACUGAGACACGGCCCAAACUCCUACGGGAGGCAGCAGUAGGGAAUUUUCGUCAAUGGGGGGAACCCUGAACGAGCAAUGCCGCGUGAGUGAGGAAGGUCUUCGGAUCGUAAAGCUCUGUUGUAAGAGAAAAACGGCACUCAUAGGGAAUGAUGAGUGAGUGAUGGUAUCUUACCAGAAAGUCACGGCUAACUACGUGCCAGCAGCCGCGGUAAUACGUAGGUGGCGAGCGUUAUCCGGAAUGAUUGGGCGUAAAGGGUGCGUAGGUGGCAGAUCAAGUCUGGAGUAAAAGGUAUGGGCUCAACCCGUACUGGCUCUGGAAACUGAUCAGCUAGAGAACAGAAGAGGACGGCGGAACUCCAUGUGUAGCGGUAAAAUGCGUAGAUAUAUGGAAGAACACCGGUGGCGAAGGCGGCCGUCUGGUCUGGAUUCUGACACUGAAGCACGAAAGCGUGGGGAGCAAAUAGGAUUAGAUACCCUAGUAGUCCACGCCGUAAACGAUGAGAACUAGGUGUUGGGGGAAUAACUCAGUGCCGCAGUUAACGCAGUAAGUUCUCCGCCUGGGGAGUAUGCACGCAAGUGUGAAACUCAAAGGAAUUGACGGGGGCCCGCACAAGCGGUGGAGUAUGUGGUUUAAUUCGAAGCAACGCGAAGAACCUUACCAGGCCUUGACAUCCCUUGCAGAGGUAUAGAGAUAUAUCCGAGGCUAUCAAGGAGACAGGUGGUGCAUGGUUGUCGUCAGCUCGUGUCGUGAGAUGUUGGGUUAAGU
rnacentral:rRNA from 1 species